GUUGUGGCUCAGUGGGAGAGUGCUUGCCUAGCAUGUGUGAGGCACAGGAUUCGAUUCUCAGCACAACA
rnacentral:tRNA from 1 species